GCCCAAAGUGUCCAAAGCCACACAUACAAAGCAACAAAUUAGGGUUUUAAGCUAGCACUGUUAGACUUCAAAGCCUCUUAACCAUUCUACUGCCCUGCUGUAGGGCAUGGGGAGAUGGGGGGAUAAGCCAUGGUUGCCAUCAAAGAGUUAAUAUAACAAUAACAUGCAGAUGGAUGGCAGCUCCUGUUUAUUGGCACCAGCUGUGGUCCAGGUACAGCGCUAAGCACUAUAAUUACACUGUUAAGUCAUCAGAACAGAAGCUCCCCACACCAGCUCUAAUAGGGGUGAGUGUUGGACAUAAGCAGGGAGCUGAGAAGAAGCCAAGACAAGGCCGGUUGCAGUGACUCAUGCUUGUAAUCCCAGCACUUUGGGAGGCUGAGGUAGGUGGACCACCUGAGGCAGGAGUUCAAGACCACCCCGGCCAAUAUGGCAAAACCCUGUCUCUACUAAAAAUUACAAAAAUUAGCUGGGGGUGGUGAUGCACGCCUGUAAUCCCAGUUACUCAGGAAGCUGAGGGAGGGAGAAUUGCUUGAACCUGGGAGGCGGAGCUUGCAGUGAGCUUAUAAUGGGCCACUGCACACUAGCCUGGGCAACAGAGCGAGAUUCCAUCUCAAAAAAAAAAAAAAGCCAACACUAGAGAUCCUUCCACUGCUGGGCUCUCAAAGUCUGGAUUCCAAGCACCUCCAGGUUUCUAUUUUGGCAUAUUUACAUAAUUUCGCAUUUCGAUGCUUAUAAUUUUUUUAUAUAACAAGAAAAUUUUAUGCAUCUCAAAUGUGUACAUUUUUUUUUUCAGACAGGGUCUUGAUCUGUCACCCAGGCUGGAGUGCAGUGGUGCCUUCAUAGCUCACUGCUGCCUCAAGCUCUUGGGCUCCAAAGAUCCUCCUACCUCAGCCUCCAGAGCUGGGGGUCUACAGGCGCGUACCACCAUGCCCAGCUACUAUUCUUAUUAUUCCCAAAUGCCACCCCACCAUAUUUCUAAAAACUCCCAAAGAAAGAUUCUACUUUGCCCAGUUUGUCCUCAAUUGAGCAGUUUUGUCUAAGCCCAGAGUUUCUGCUGGGCCAGAGUAUGGAUGAGCUGUCUCUCCCUGGCUGGUGCCCAUGCCUGCCUGUAGCCUGGGAGGGGGAGUGGCGCCCAGGGUCAGGUGGAACAAAACAUGACUGCCUAGGGCUGCCUCUGUCUCCAUCUCACUGAUCGCAAAUCACAGCUCAGACAGCCAGCUCUUAAGUGAGACCUGAGUGCCAGAGAGGGGUGGAUACAAGGCCAACAGUUACUAAAUGAAUGAAAAUUGUGAUUCCGAUGAAGCCUGCCAGAGAAAUAAAGCAUUUUUUAAAAGAUGGAAAUAAGGCGAUAUCUGAUUAGGGCAAACAUGAUGCAGACAAGAAAUGCACCGGUUCAGAGGAGGGAAGGUCAGGCCGCCUGGGGGGAGUCCACGAAAAAGAUGGAACGUGCCAGAUGCUGUGC
rnacentral:lncRNA from 1 species